UUUGAUGAUUGACCAGACAGAAUAAAAAUUCACCAAUAUUUUGAUAGUAAAUAAUGAUGUGCUGUUCGCCUUUCUGUUUAUUUCUCUUCUUCUAAUUGAUUAUUUAUUCAUUUCUAUUGUCAUCAUGGAUUACAUACUCCGAAAUGCUCGGUGACAAGAUACUAGUUACGGCUUCUGCCUUGGUAUGGCUAGUGAUAAAAUAUUUUGUAAAUUAUCAAGAGUAAGAAGCUGAAAUGAUUUCGGAAAAUUGUGAUCCAAGAGCUGCUGUUUUUCGCCGGGAAAACUGAAAUAGAUUUCUCUUUAUAAUUGAGGUUUCUAUAAAGGAAAACGAAUCUUUGAAAGCGUAUACUUUUCCAAAAAUAAUCAAUAAUAAGGCUAUGUCAAAGAAAGUAGUAGAAGUAAAGUGGAUGAACAUUU